rnacentral:rRNA from 1 species
UACGUAGGUCCCGAGCGUUGUCCGGAUUUAUUGGGCGUAAAGCGAGCGCAGGUGGUUUAUUAAGUCUGGUGUAAAAGGCAGUGGCUCAACCAUUGUAUGCAUUGGAAACUGGUAGACUUGAGUGCAGGAGAGGAGAGUGGAAUUCCAUGUGUAGCGGUGAAAUGUGUAGAUAUAUGGAGGAACACCGGUGGCGAAAGCGGCUCUCUGGCCUGUAAUUGACACUGAGGCUCGAAAGCGUGGGGAGCAAACAGG